GAAGGUGACGAGGUCAGCGAUGCAGGCAGCUGUACCUGCACUCAGUACCUUCACUCCCAAAGGAGGAGGAACAUCAGAUGGCUUCAGUCCCACCAUGAUCACAGCUACAAACACAGAGAACAGAAUCGGCAGGAGGCUCGACCCAGCUCUCAGCCAAUCACUGCUUAGCUCUCGGACCAAGCACUCUGGGCUUUGAAAGGAUAAUUGGACGCCAGGAAGGAGGUAAACACGUUUACCAGUCCAGACUGGUUCAGAGAGAGGGCACCGACUGACGUCUGUGACUGAAGUUCAUCGGGAGACAGAUAACGUUCUUGCUUCACUGCUUGUUGUCUCAUUGGAACGACGACGUAAAAACAUUACCAGAUCAUGUAAGACCUUCUCACUGUUGCAAGAGGUAGUUUGAUCUUUUGGCCCCGAAUAAUUCAAACGUGUCUUCGCUGUGUACCGUUUUUUUUUCCCCGUGAAAGUGUUCAAACUACACCGUGAACCUGCUGCAGAGAACUAAUCAAAGAGUUGUAAGCAGUUACUGAGUCACAGAUCCUCUUAUUGCAAGAUGAGUUGUGAGAAAACUAAGCUUAUCUGUUAUCACAAGGGAACUCAUUAGGGCCAGUGUGUUUAUUAACGCAGGGGUGAGAGUUUUCCGCUUUUCGGCGGAUUUCCGCUUUUUCUGAGUAAAAAACGACAUUUUUAUAUUAUGCCAAAUCCAUUGAGAAUUUUUUUAAUUAAUUUUGGGGGGUUGGGGUAUGUUCCUUCAUGCUGUUCAAACUUUAUUAACUCCAACGAUGUUUACACAUUAUUUGUAAGUCGCCAUCUUUAGUCUCGUUUAAAUCUCGUUGAAUGUGAUGUAAAAUUCGUGUUAUCUACGUUGUUAUUGGUCAAAACGUCGAUGUCGAGACCAUAAUAGCCAAUCAAAACAGUUUUUACAAAGACACCCACAUCCGCUUUCUUUUAUCAAAACUUACACAUGUUCGCGAGCUGCAUAUCAAAAAUACGCUCCUCUAAUCGGCGUUUUUUCUCAAGAUGCCGAAUACUACUGACAAGCAAGAUGAAGCGAAGGUAUGUGAAAUCGAUGCUGGUAUAAAAAACAAGUUUAGCAAAGCAAAAGGAAAGCAAGAGAGGAGUGAGAGAGAGAGCAGAAGAGAGCCAGGUUAGAGCAUGUAAAAACACAGGAGGCGCUGGCUAAUGAAAGAAAAAGGAAAAAAGAGAGGACUGAUGAGCUUUUGGCUUUGGCCAAGAAGCUGAAGUCUAAAUGAUCAAAUGAAAAUUUGUUUCAAAAAUAACUGGGAACUGUGAAUAACUUUUAACUGUAAAAAGUGUAAAUAGACAUUUUCCUUUUGAAGAAAACAUACAAGUGAUGUGGACAAUAAGAUAAAGACAGUCCCCAUAAAAUAUGCAUUUGUUUGAUUCAAUAUGAUCAUUUGAAUUAUAGCUGACAGUGUUAAUAACUAUAGAGGAUUUCGGCCUAUGUCAUUGUUUCCAUAGCGACAAUAUUUAUGCCGCCAUUUUGACGGUCACAAAUAUGGCGACUACCGGUAGCGAUACACUGUUGAUCAUGAUGAAGUCUCAUUGUCGAGUAUUUUAUCUGGCCUAGAUGACGCGAGUAAGAAGCGAUAUCACCAGAAAAUCAAUGAUGCUGGUGUACGUGAUCCGUACACGUUACCAGGCUAUCUUUUUCUGGCUUUGCAGUGCGGGUGAUCUUCCUGACCUGCAGUCAGGCGUGUGGGAAAUACCAGGGAAAAAACAUAAAAGAAAAAGGAGCGAGAUGCAGAAAACACCUUCACUAUCCAGCGACGUAGGGCAUUUACAGGGCGAGCAGAGGGAGAGGUAUUUGCAAAAAUUGAGGUU